UAGAGGUCAGUGCAGGUGUUUAUUUCUCGUCUAAUUCGUAUUGUUGUCUGAUAGAAGACGUCAUUAGCGCGGGUAUAAUAUCGAUAUAAAGUUUAUAUCCUUCGAAAAAUACUUAUUCGAGCUUUGAAAAAUUUACACGAUUUAUUUCGAUCGAUAUUAGACGAAUCUAAAACAGGAACAAAAUACCUCACUGACUUCAAAAGCAACAGAAAAGACUAAUUUUGCACAUAUGGAUUAUGGUUCAGAAUAUCGAGAUUGGACGUUUUAUGGAAAAAUGAAUUCCUGUUGUUCAUUUUAAACAGAAAACCAAGUUAAGAUGCUUGCAGUAUAUAAAAACAAAUUCAGACUGAUAAUCAAGAUUCAAGUUUGACUGGUGGCCAAGGAUUGGAAACUGCCAGAGCAUUUAAAGUUUAACCUAUAGCAGAAUAAGUUUAACAUAUAACAGAAUUCAUAAGGAUUUUAAAAAGAAGGUAUUUAUUAUUUAUUGUU